UACGAAGGUCCCGAGCGUUGUUCGGAAUCACUGGGCGUAAAGGGUGCGUAGGUGGCGCCGUAAGUCGGGUGUGAAAUUUCGGAGCUUAACUCCGAAACUGCAUUCGAUACUGCGGUGCUUGAGGACUGGAGAGGAGACUGGAAUUCAUGGUGUAGCAGUGAAAUGCGUAGAGAUCAUGAGGAAGACCAGUGGCGAAGGCGGGUCUCUGGACAGUUCCUGACACUGAGGCACGAAGGCCAGGGGAGCAAACGGG
rnacentral:rRNA from 1 species